GUGCACUUUGACAGCACAUAUACUAAAACUGGAACAAUACAGAGAAGAUUAGCACAGCUCCUGCACAAGGAUGACACGCACAUUAGAGAAGCAUUCCAUAUUUUU